rnacentral:rRNA from 1 species
GCUGGCGGCAGGCCUAACACAUGCAAGUCGAGCGCCGUAGCAAUACGGAGCGGCAGACGGGAGAGUAACACGUGGGAACGUACCCUUUGGUUCGGAACAACCCAGGGAAACUUGGGCUAAUACCGAAUAAGCCCUUACGGGGAAAGAUUUAUCGCCGAAGGAUCGGCCCGCGUCUGAUUAGCUAGUUGGUGGGGUAACGGCCCACCAAGGCGACGAUCAGUAGCUGGUCUGAGAGGAUGAUCAGCCUCAUUGGGACUGAGACACGGCCCAAACUCCUACGGGAGGCAGCAGUGGGGAAUAUUGGACAAUGGGCGCAAGCCUGAUCCAGCCAUGCCGCGUGGGUGAUGAAGGCCCUAGGGUUGUAAAGCCCUUUCGGCGGGGAAGAUAAUGACGGUACCCGCAGAAGAAGCCCCGGCUAACUUCGUGCCAGCAGCCGCGGUAAUACGAAGGGGGCUAGCGUUGCUCGGAAUCACUGGGCGUAAAGCGCACGU